AAACUUGCGGUUAGGUUUCUGUUUUUUAUGCACAUGUGUGUCUUUUUCUAGUAUUUCAGAUAACAGUAUUGGAUAUGAAGGGUCAGUGAGUCUGUCCAAAGCAAUAAUGUGCAUGAAGAACCUCACCAAGAUUCAUCUGACCUCUGUUGGGACUCCAGAGCUGUGUGCUGUAGCUGCUAGUCUCACCCACUGUCCGCUCAUACAGGAUGUAGGUCUGGGGUGGAAUAACUGUGAGGAUAAAGUGGCAGUGGAGUUGGCCAAAGUUAUCCCUUUCUGUCAGAAGCUGACCAGAAUAGAGUGAGUUUGUG